GAAUGAUGUUACAACUAGAGGGAUUACAGAAACAUCUUUGCUAGGCUUAUCAACUAUCCAUAAUACCUACAACGCGACACUCAAUAGUUUUGAGAGCAACCUCUCGCAGGAGGAACACGACGCUACAGGGAUUAUUGUUGGAAGCCUGGUUGCCGUUAUAUUUAUUACUAUUUUGGUACUGGCUGCUGUUCUUUGGAAACGGAAAAGAAAACAGAAUGACAAGAAGCACAUAUCUAUUUCAGUAGCUGGUGAAUCAGAAGAUGCUGAGAUCAGAACUCAUGAAGGAGAGAAUAUUUCUGAAGGACCAGAAUAUGAGCGACCUUUGCUGACACAUACAGAUCCUUCUGACGAUACGAUGAAUUUGCAAGAAACCUCAUUCGUA